rnacentral:tRNA from 1 species
GGAAGGGUGCCGGAGUAGGUCGAACGGGGCGCACUGCUAAUGCGUUGUAGGGGUAAAACCCUACCGAGGGUUCGAAUCCCUCCCCUUCCGCCA